AUGAAGCAGGCGUCUUCCAAUGAGCGCCUUGCGAACACAAACCCUCCCUGCUGGGAGCCCGGGCCCCCGGCACUGUCCUCGCUGAGCCCCCCAGGACAAAGAGCUACGGGGAACACGCGCUCCCGCCCAGCCUACAGCAGCGCUCGCGGGCCUGGCUUCCAAGGGGGCGGGGCUGGGUUUCCACGCGCCAGGGACGAACUGGGCCCCGCGGUCACACAGGCUCCCUGCCAAGAGAGCUGUUCCUGCCCGCCCUCCCCGCUACCACCGGCCUCUCGCUCCAGUCCCGGGCCCUCGUACACCCGCGCGGGAUCGAUCGCCCCCCAGUACUUCAAACUCAGCCCGUCCGACCGCACUGCUCCUACUGUGCCUCGCCCUUUUAAGCAGCCGAGCCGCGCACGGCUCUUUUCCGAGGUACGCGCAUGCGUGCGAGGAGCGAGCGGAGCGGGCACAGGCCUUGGUUUCAUAAGCUGGCGGCUGAUCUCGCGCCUAGACGGGUGCGCACGAGAGUCGGUCCCGGUAAAAAUGGUGUGCCAGUGGCAGAAAACUUCCGAAUGGAAGCGGUCCCCCUACCAGAUAAAAUCAC
rnacentral:lncRNA from 1 species